CAGUCGCCGCGGUAACACGUAGGUCCCGAGCGUUGUCCGGAUUUAUUGGGCGUAAAGGGAGCGCAGGCGGUUUAGUAAGUCUGAAGUUAAAGGCAUUGGCUCAACCAAUGUAUGCUUUGGAAACUGUUAGACUUGAGUGCAGAAGGGGAGAGUGGAAUUCCAUGUGUAGCGGUGAAAUGCGUAGAUAUAUGGAGGAACACCGGUGGCGAAAGCGGCUCUCUGGUCUGUCACUGACGCUGAGGCUCGAAAGCGUGGGUAGCGAACAGGAUUAGAUACCCCAGUAGUCCCUGUCUCUUAUACA
rnacentral:rRNA from 1 species